AAUCAACGCUGGCGGCGUGCCUAACACAUGCAAGUCGAACGCGAAAGGGGCUUCGGCCCUGAGUAGAGUGGCGAACGGGUGAGUAACGCGUGGGUGAUCUACCUUCGAGUGGGGGAUAACGUUCCGAAAGGAGCGCUAAUACCGCAUGACGUUCUGGAUUUGAACAUCUGGAAACCAAAGCCGGGGACCGCAAGGCCUGG
rnacentral:rRNA from 1 species